rnacentral:rRNA from 1 species
GACGAACGCUGGCGGCGUGCCUAAUACAUGCAAGUAGAACGCACAGUUUAUACCGUAGCUUGCUACACCAUAAACUGUGAGUUGCGAACGGGUGAGUAACGCGUAGGUAACCUGCCUGGUAGCGGGGGAUAACUAUUGGAAACGAUAGCUAAUACCGCAUAAUAUUGAUUAUUGCAUGAUAAUUGAUUGAAAGAUGCUAUUGCAUCACUACCAGAUGGACCUGCGUUGUAUUAGCUAGUAGGUGAGGUAACGGCUAACCUAGGCGACGAUACAUAGCCGACCUGAGAGGGGGAUCGGCCACACUGGGACUGGGACACGGCCAAGACUCCUACGGGAGGCAGCAGUAGGGAAUUUUCGGCAAUGGACGAAAGUCUGACCGAGCAACGCCGCGUGAGUGAAGAAGGUUUUCGGAUCGUAAAGCUCUGUUGUAGGAGAAGAACGGGUGUGAGAGUGGAAAGUGCACACUGUGACGGUAUCUUACCAGAAAGGGACGGCUAACUACGUG